rnacentral:lncRNA from 1 species
GGGCGGGGCUGGGCGCGCGCGGAGUGCGUCAGCCGGGCGCGCCGCCGGGGAGGGCUCGGCUCGGCUCGUUUCGGACGGGCUCGGCUGGGCUCGGACGGGGUCGGCGCGGCUCCGCUCCGAGAGAGACCGCGCUCUCGGCCUUCCCUCACCUAUGGAAAGGUGGAGAGAUUGCGCGAGAGUUGAGGAGAAAUCACACUUCGUCUCGUAUAACCCAAAAAAUGGGCUCUUGGCGCAGCUUGUAAAAUAUGUUCUGUGACAGAGAUGACAAAAUUGAAAUGAAAAAACGUAAAGAAAUGAUGCCGUAAUAGAAAAGGAGUACGUGCUUAGUACUGACGUAAAUUCAGUCCUCUGCAGCGCAGUGGGGCGAGGGAUGAGGAGGCAGAGUUCUAUGAAAGCUCUGCUAAUGCUUUAUUUGCUAAUUUAUUACAGGGGAAAACUGCCACAUUUUUAAAAUAUCGGAAGGGACUUGUCAGACAUACGGUGGGCCUUGCGUGUAAGGUGCUGGAUUUAAGCGCAGCUGGAUGUGUGUUUGAGCCUUGGUAAUACAGCUGCAGCCGGUGGCCUUGGCUGAGAGCCCUGCGCUGUGCCAUGGCUUGGCUGGGCCUCACAGGGGGGGCAACAUGUUUACCCGGGGUGGUCUCUAUAAGAACCAAGGGAUCCAUAUACCAGGAAUGGAAAACCAGAAAGUCAAAAGCAGCCUGUCCUGUUUCCCGCAGUAGAAGUUUGGAGAAGUGAAGGAAGGGAGUAUGCUAUAACAAUAAAUGUAACAAGUCUCUCUAUACAAGACCAUGGAGAAGAAGAAGGAAGUAAUCAGCAAACCAGAGGAAGGGACCCCAGAAGUACAAGGUAUCAAUGAAAUACCACUAAACCCCUUCUCAAUGAAACAGCCACGUGCUAGGAGAAGUUACUUGAGAGGCUGUCUGAGGCCGAGAGUCUCUCAACACUCCUCUCCUUAUCUUCCAAGGCUUAACUUGCUAUGCUUCAGGAGAUAUGUAAGAUUUUGCAUCUGAGGAUUGUGCUUGAGUGUCUGUGAAUGAGACAUGCAAGCUUGAAAAAACCCACAGUGAAAGGAUGGAUCUUCAGUGUAAUAUUUGCAGUACUAUGAUGUAACUUCAGGCUGUUUUAAAAACAAUAUGCAAAUGGCAGUCAGAUUUAUGAAUGUUAUUUUUAAUAGAAGGAAUGUUCCCAUAAGUAAUUAUUAUGAAUUUUUAUCUGUCUAAAGGAGUACAGAAAAAAAAAUUAAGAAAGCCCAUGGGUUUUCCUAUGUUGGGUAGCCCUAUAGUGAAAAGGCUAUCACCCAAGAAAUUAAAUUUUAAAAGGCAAAACUUAAACUAGGUUUUCAAAAACUCAGUAGAAACACCGUUUCAGUAAUUCCUGGCCUGAGCAAAUGGGUAAGUUGUGAUGAAUAAAUAUUGUGAGUUAUGACCAAGAAUAUUGUGGGGUAUAAUUGAGACCUUGUACUUUCCUCUUAGUAAUGAGCUGCUGUUUCCC